GAAGGAAGGAAGGAAGGAAGGAAGGAAGGAAGGAAGGAAGGAAGAAAGGAUUGGUGAUUUCCAUGGAAUUCCCUUCAGACUCAGUAAAGGAAAUAUCAAUCUAAAAACGACUUCUGUGCAAAUGAAUGCAGACACCUAAAGAAAAGACCAGCUGAUCUGCAUCUACUUCAGCUUGAUGUAUCCCACAAGGAAGAAAAACUACCUGAGCGUGGUGGAUUUCAGAAAGAAUGAGUCUGCAGCUUGGAGCUCUCCUGCAAGCUUUCACUGCUCUGCUGGCCAAGUCACCGCAACAUCGGCAUCUCCCAACUGCAGGAUCCUCCUCUUCCCAGUGCCCACACAGAUCUGCCUAAUGCCCAACUCCUCACCUCAAAAUAAAAUCCACAGGUCAAAUUCUUUCCAGCCAGGAAGCCCCAUUUUCUCAAAGCAGGAGUCUUCUAUGGGAAUGCUCUGCCUCUGUUAG
rnacentral:lncRNA from 1 species